CAAAUUGAGCAUUAUACCUGUUUCUGAUGAAAAGAAUUAAUGAUUCGCAAAAGAUUAUCACAGAACCAUACGCUCCUGUGUCCGAAAAUGAGGCACGGUCCCAAACGACUAAUUAAACAAACCCAUUGCCAGACGUGUAGAUUUAUUUCUUAGCCUCUUUUUAAUGUGCAUUUCUCUCGUAUUUUAGAUCUGCAAGAGGCAAAAAUCUUAAUUUGGUGGGAGACUGUUGUUCGUUCCGUUUCUCUAUAAGAAUCGAAUACAGUGUUUUAAGGGGCAGUUUUCUCUUUCAGUUGGGUGCGUUGACAUAAGUAUAGGCUUGGCAACGCUAGGGUAGUAGUCUGGACCUGGCUAUCUAACCUUCAAAUGCAUACACAGUGACUACUCAGGUGUAACCUAUUGUAGCAGGCACUGCUGCAAAAGUCCUUAAUGUCAAACGUCUUUCAGCUGCAUCACCGGGGGGCUGGGGCAUGGUGUUUUUGUUGAAUCGUGACCCAGGGCAGGGGUGACUGGAAUGACAAUAUGAUUGUGCACAUUGAACAAGCGCACUUUUGAGGGGCAGUGCUUGAUGUCGUGUGGUUUGACAUUUGGUAAAAGUUACUGAUUUUCAGCACAAAUCAGUCUUGAAAGAGCUAAAAGUUUUAACAAAACAGAUAACUAUGAGCUUUAAUGUCAUGAUUUUUGGUCCGUGAAAAAACGUUUGCAGAAACUGUUUUGCAUCCCUGUGCAGAUGCAGCGUAGCGUCUUUGCAAGUAGUCUGAGUAGUAGAACUGUACAUGACCGUGAGGAAUGCAGCUUUCCUGAAACAAUUUAUGUUACUAAGGCUACAAUGUGAACAUAGGCCUUGGGCCUAAAGCCAGCAUUGUAGGACUGGCAGGCGAUUUCUGGUUUAGGGCAGAAGACCCUGUGUUCCCUACUGACGCCUGCGGUGGUUUGGAGUGCAGUGGAGAAUAUUUUCCCUUUUGUUUUUAAUAAACCCACAAGAACAAUUUAAGCUGUGUACAUUUCGCAUGACACCCUGACUGAUCCUUGACAGGUGAUGAAUUGGCACCAAGCAAGCUGCGGCACUGUGCACGGCCGCGAGCUCAUGCUCUCGCAGACUCUCUGGCGCCAACCCCGUGACGUCACCCAUUCACAGCAGCCCUCCAGCCAGUCCUCACGGCGCCGUGCAGGCGGCUGCUAUGGUGACGGGGGCCGUCACUCAGCACAAGUUCUCAGCUGAUCAAUGGGACCGAGCGCAGCGAGAUCAGAGUCGGGUUCGUCACCUCGGACCUCCUUUGCUCCGGGGCCCGCACACCUGCAUCGAUUUGCAUUUCUUAAGUUACGUUUUACUUGGAAAAGUGACACUCGGUACAGGCCUUGUGUAUAAACAGUGACGUGCUUUUUAAGUGAAUAGUCAAAGUGCCGGGGGAGGACCGUGUUUUAAGCUCUACAAAUGUUUUUUUCCACAUCUGUAAUAUAGCCCAGCCUAUCUUGCAUUCGUUUCGUUUUCCUUUCUUUCAUUCAGCAACUUAAUAGGCUGCGAUUCCGAGCAGACUUUAAGUUUCCACCUCAAACAGCACCUCGACUAGUGUUAAACAAAACGUUUUACAAAUAAACUGUAGCACGAGAUAAAGACACUAAUGUCCUUCCACCAAUUCUUUCUAUCUGGAUUAUGCUAUAGUCUAUAAACUCGACAAUGCUGUCCAAAUGUUUUCGAGUAAAGAUCAUCUAAAAUGACAUUAGACUGUCUGCGAACGAAUCUUAGGUAGGCUACAACAGCUAGGAAACAAAAUCAAGGUUGCCAGAGUUGAUGUAGGCUACGCUCCACAGGCUGGCGUCAGAAUGUCUGCACCGCCUCGUUGUUGAUAUAGCCUUGCUCACUGCAGCUGCACUCGACGCACAAUCCGCUCACAGUAUCACAAAACCCAAGUUUGGGUUUAACCCUCGCAAAGUCCUUCAGUCUGUUUGCCUCAAAUUAGUCGCACUACGCAGUGCCACUGCAUGACCACAAUACGUCCCUUAUCCGCGAGCACAAGGAAUACUCUCUGUCUCAAGCCUUUAAAAUAAACCACCUAGAGCAAACUUAAGAAAACUUGAGAAAAAACACAGAGCUCUUCUAUACAGUCUACUAAGUGCCGGAUGUUGGUGGAGGCAAGAGGCGCCAUCUGCCUGAAUAGACAAUGUCCUCAAUCAACUUGAGUUACACUGUAGUUGGAGAAAGUCCCCAAAUCCUGCACCCAAUAUCUACGAUUUCAAAACAAAUGUGCGAUUCACCAUACGGAGUAGAUGCACCAUUUCCUCGCAUGUACACUAAGCUACGGGAAAAAAAACAGAUAGGCUUCAACAUUCGAGACGCGUCACGACUUCCGAAAUCAUUACAGAAGCUUAUAUUCUGCUACUUGUAGAAUCAUUCUAAAACACUUAUUGAACACGCUACAUUUUCGCCCGUUUCACCGCAAAGCGCAUCCAGUCCAGAAGGCACCGACUCGGGGAGAAUCAAGGCGCAGGCUGCCUCGCUCUUCUUUACUCUGGGCUUUGUACCCUGUCGCAGUUUAGGAGGUUCCCACGCGCCUGUCGCGUGCUGCAGUACACACAUAAAACAGUGGCCCGCGACUCUUGUAGCAACACCGACACCAGGGGCGUGGCUUUUACGUUAAUCUAUUGUUCGACUUUCCAAAAAGGACUGCUGAAAUCCGAGACCCCUUAGAUUUGACCAAACGUCUCAAUUUAAAAAUAGUACAAUCCAGGGACAUUGCUAACAGUGGGAAACAUUCAGGGUUUAGUCUAGACCUGUAGGGGGGUCCGGGGGGCAUCCUCAAUUCACCAUUUUCUUUCAGUUUUUUGAGACCGUAACAGUAGGCAUAUAUAGACAGUCCAUGGCAUAC